UAAUUCUAAUUUCGCGAGCAAAUGGACUUCGUCAUCUUCGUUUUACGGCGAGUCGACAACGCCUAAGCUUCUUCUGAAUCUCUUUGAGACGGUGUGAGUUAUGCGAUUUCUAGGAUUGCCACUAUUCUUAAGCAAUUGUCGUUUAAAACCGACAAAGAAGCUCCGGCUGGGUUACGGGGAUGAGUAUUUCCUGCCAAUCUAUGGUGGUAGCCGCUGUCUAUGUCGAAUCGCCUGGACCGUUACAAAACUCUACUGCAUUCAGUCAUCGUCAUUAACGAUCUCAUUAAUACAGAUUCCCCACUCCUCUCAUGAUGUUUGCCCUUCUCGCUUCCAUUGUGCAAAUCUACAACUAUAAAUAUGACACAUUUAUUUUAUAUUUUUAAAGUACAAAAGAGUUGCUUAUAUAUAGGUUGUUAAGAAAGAUGAAGAUGUGAAAGUUCUUGAAAUGGUGGGGGGUGAGGAUUGGUUGCCUCAACCGACAAAGGUUAUCUUCACUAAAAUUAUCUCACUAAUAUCAAAAAGUCCGCUGAAGAUUUCAGCCAUUACAUCAUUGAGGUAGUUUUGUAUGUAUAUGCUUCUCAUGUUUUCUUUUAGAAAGGAGGUUGGAUGACAUUAUGUUGCAGUUCUAGAAUAUUGAUGUCAUCAGAAUUAUUAGCAGUGUUCUUGGCCAGAGCAUAGCUUUGAAUUACUAAUUUACUAUGGCCGGCAGGUAGCAAUCACAUAUCAGUUUGUUUCUGUUAGGUUGAUGGUAUGGUAGCAAUUAGCAAAGUUAACUGAACAAACCAUGUGAUGGAGAAAACAGGAACGCUUACAACGGACAUGAAGAAGCUGUUCCAGUUGGAGAUUUUUCACUAAAGCAACUCCAAACGAAGAGUUUCUAAUUUGUUUUUAGUGUGUUUUAUCAUUUUAUUUUCCUAGGUGAAUUUGUAAGCAAGUGUUUCAUAUAUGACUUGCUGCAACCGUAAAAAUUGUGUUUUUACUUUUAUGCGUCAAUCUUUUAAUAAUACAAUAAAAGGGUCAUGUGCUAAUCUUCCUUUGAAA